rnacentral:tRNA from 1 species
GCAGGUGUAGUUCAAUGGUAGAACCGGUGCUUCCCAAGCAUCUGACGCGGGUUCGAUUCCCGUCACCUGCUCCA